UGGGGAAUAUUGGGCAAUGGGCGCAAGCCUGACCCAGCAACGCCGCGUGAAGGAAGAAGGCUUUCGGGUUGUAAACUUCUUUUGACUAGGGAAGAGUAGAAGA
rnacentral:rRNA from 1 species